UACGGAGGGGGCUAGCGUUGUUCGGAAUUACUGGGCGUAAAGGGCGCGUAGGCGGAUUAGUAAGUUGGGAGUGAAAGCCCGGGGCUUAACCUCGGAACUGCUUUCAAAACUGCUAGUCUUGAGUGAAGUAGGGGAUGAUGGAAUUCCUAGUGUAGAGGUGAAAUUCUUAGAUAUUAGGAGGAACACCGGUGGCGAAGGCGGUCAUCUGGACUUCAACUGACGCUGAGGCGCGAAAGCGUGGGGAGCAAACAGG
rnacentral:rRNA from 1 species